rnacentral:rRNA from 1 species
AUUGAACGCUGGCGGCAUGCCUUACACAUGCAAGUCGAACGGCAGCGCGGACUUCGGUCUGGCGGCGAGUGGCGAACGGGUGAGUAAUGUAUCGGAACGUACCAUUCAGUGGGGGGAUAACGCAGCGAAAGUUGACGCUAAUACCGCAUAUUCUGUGCGCAGGAAAGCAGGGGAUCGCAAGACCUUGCGCUGAUUGAGCGGUCGAUAUCAGAUUAGCUAGUUGGUGAGGUUAAAGGCUCACCAAGGCGACAAUCUGUAGCGGGUCUGAGAGGAUGAUCCGCCACACUGGAACUCGAGACACGGUCCAGACUCCUACGGGAGGCAGCAGUGGGGAAUUUUGGACAAUGGCGCAAGCCUGAUCCAGCCAUGCCGCGCGAGUGAAGAAGGCCU